rnacentral:rRNA from 1 species
UACGUAGGGGGCUAGCGUUGUCCGGAAUCAUUAGGCGUAAAGAGCGUGUAGGCGGCUAGGUAGGUCCGUUGUGAAAACUCGAGGCUCAACCUCGAGACGUCGGCGGAAACCAUCUGGCUAGAGUCCGGAAGAGGAGAGUGGAAUUCCUGGUGUAGCGGUGAAAUGCGCAGAUAUCAGGAAGAACACCCGUGGCGAAGGCGGCUCUCUGGGACGGUACUGACGCUGAGACGCGAAAGCGUGGGGAGCGAACAGG